rnacentral:rRNA from 1 species
GAUGAACGCUGGCGGCGUGCCUCAAACAUGCAAGUCGAGCGAGGCUAUGAAUUACCGCAAGGUAAGGCAUAGCCUAGCGGCGAACGGGUGAGUAACACGUGGGUAACCUACCUGGAAGACAGGGAUAACGAUUCGAAAGGGUCGCUAAUACCUGAUAAUAUCCAUCUGCCGGAUGGCGGAGGGAAGAAAGGGGAAACCCGCUUUCAGAUGGGCCCGCGUCCCAUCAGCUAGUUGGUAAGGUAAAGGCUUACCAAGGCGACGACGGGUAGCCGGUCUGAGAGGAUGUACGGCCACACUGGGACUGAGAUACGGCCCAGACUCCUACGGGAGGCAGCAGUUGGGAAUCUUAGGCAAUGGACGAAAGUCUGACCUAGCGACGCCGCGUGAGGGAAGAAGGCCUUCGGGUUGUAAACCUCUGUCAUGGGGGAAAAGGAAGUGACGGUACCCCAAGAGGAAGCCCCUGCUAACUACGUGCCAGCAGCCGCGUAAGGUCACGUCG